GAGCAAUUACAACGAUCUGCUUUACAAUCGUUGCCCUAUAAAAUAAUAAUAACAGUUGCCGUACGCGCCAGUUUACAGUCAUCACUUGACUUGACUUGCUUUUUCGAGAUCGGAGCUCAAAUUUGAAUUCAGUGAAGCUUGAGAGGUUUCAGAAAGACAGAGCAGAGCAGGAUGGCGAUUGCACCACCACCACCACCACCGGUCCGCCCUCAAUUGCAGAUUAAGAGCUGCAAAUGGAGGGGAGCACCUCGUGGCCAUAAUCUACAGAUGUGCUUGUUCCAACAAUGUGCACAUCGAGGUUUAUAGGGACAGACCGAUGUACGUGUACUCUGACCAGAGAUGCUAUGCCACGGUGGCUGUGACGUGGGUCGGUGAACGAGUUCGCAUUGAGAGCACCUGUGUCUGCAAUGCGGGGUGUCAAUUUACUCGCGACAACGGUGGAUCCGUAGCUCUUGGAACCUUUGCCAAUAAUAUUCCGUCUGCAAUGUAGUUAUGUUGUUUGAAUGAAACUAAAAAAUCUGGAUUCUCUUGAAACAGAUUCAACUAUGUAAUGAGAUGAGCAAGUAUUGAAUGUCUAUUUCCUAGAUUCAAUUGUAAUAAAUUCAGACCAGAACUCAAGCUUAAUUUAGUGAUCG